rnacentral:rRNA from 1 species
GACGAACGCUGGCGGCGUGCUUAACACAUGCAAGUCGAACGGAAAGGCCCUGCUUUUGUGGGGUGCUCGAGUGGCGAACGGGUGAGUAACACGUGAGUAACCUGCCCUUGACUUUGGGAUAACUUCAGGAAACUGGGGCUAAUACCGGAUAGGAGCUCCUGCGGCAUGGUGGGGGUUGGAAAGUUUCGGCGGUUGGGGAUGGACUCGCGGCUUAUCAGCUUGUUGGUGGGGUAGUGGCUUACCAAGGCUUUGACGGGUAGCCGGCCUGAGAGGGUGACCGGCCACAUUGGGACUGAGAUACGGCCCAGACUCCUACGGGAGGCAGCAGUGGGGAAUAUUGCACAAUGGGCGCAAGCCUGAUGCAGCAACGCCGCGUGCGGGAUGACGGCCUUCGGGUUGUAAACCGCUUUCGCCUGUGACGAAGCGUGAGUGACGGUAAUGGGUAAAGAAGCACCGGCUAACUACGUG